rnacentral:rRNA from 1 species
GACGGGACCCCGCACAAGCGGUGGAUCAUGUGUUUAAUUCGAUGAUACGCGGAGAACCUUACCAGGUCUUGACAUCCCCCGCGAUGCUUUAGAGAUAAAGCGGAGGUAUUCGGGGAGACAGGUGGUGCAUGGUUGUCGUCAGCUCGUGUCGUGAGAUGUUGGGUUAAGUCCCGCAACGAGCGCAACCCCUAUUGCUAGUUACCAUCAUUAAGUUGGGGACUCUAGCGAGACUGCCAGUGAUAAACUGGAGGAAGGUGGGGAUGACGUCAAAUCAUCAUGCCCCUUAUGACCUGGGCUACAAACGUGAUACAAUGGCUGGAACAAAGGGAUGCGAAGCAGUGAUGUGGAGCGAAACCCAUAAAAACAGUCUCAGUUCGGAUUGAAGUCUGCAACUCGACUUCAUGAAGUCGGAAUCGCUAGUAAUCGCGGAUCAGAACGCCGCGGUGAAUACGUUCUCGGGGUUU